rnacentral:rRNA from 1 species
GGCGUGUGACUGCGUACCUUUUGUAUAAUGGGUCAGCGACUUAUAUUCUGUAGCAAGGUUAACCGAAUAGGGGAGCCGAAGGGAAACCGAGUCUUAACUGGGCGUUAAGUUGCAGGGUAUAGACCCGAAACCCGGUGAUCUAGCCAUGGGCAGGUUGAAGGUUGGGUAACACUAACUGGAGGACCGAACCGACUAAUGUUGAAAAAUUAGCGGAUGACUUGUGGCUGGGGGUGAAAGGCCAAUCAAACCGGGAGAUAGCUGGUUCUCCCCGAAAGCUAUUUAGGUAGCGCCUCGUGAAUUCAUCUCCGGGGGUAGAGCACUGUUUCGGCAAGGGGGUCAUCCCGACUUACCAACCCGAUGCAAACUGCGAAUACCGGAGAAUGUUAUCACGGGAGACACACGGCGGGUGCUAACGUCCGUCGUGAAGAGGGAAACAACCCAGACCGCCAGCUAAGGUCCCAAAGUCAUGGUUAAGUGGGAAACGAUGUGGGAAGGCCCAGACAGCCAGGAUGUUGGCUUAGAAGCAGCCAUCAUUUAAAGAAAGCGUAAUAGCUCACUGGUCGAGUCGGCCUGCGCGGAAGAUGUAACGGGGCUAAACCAUGCACCGAAGCUGCGGCAGCGACGCUGAUGCGUUGUUGGGUAGGGGAGCGUUCUGUAAGCCUG